rnacentral:rRNA from 1 species
CCUACGGGGGGCAGCAGUGAGGAAUAUUGGUCAAUGGACGCAAGUCUGAACUAGCCAUGCCGCGUGCAGGAAGACGGCUCUAUGAGUUGUAAACUGCUUUUGUACGGGGGUAAACGCAGAUACGCGUAUCUGUCUGAAAGUACUUUACGAAUAAGGAUCGGCUAACUCCGUGCCAGCAGCCGCGGUAAUACGGAGGAUUCAAGCGUUAUCCGGAUUUAUUGGGUUUAAAGGGAGCGUAGGUGGUCUGUUAAGUUAGAGGUGAAAGCCCGAGGCUCAACUUCGGAAUUGCGUCUGAUACUGUUAGGCUUGAGAGUAGUUGCGGUAGGCGGAAUGUAUGGUGUAGCGGUGAAAUGCUUAGAGAUCAUACAGAACACCGAUUGCGAAGGCAGCUUACCAAGCUACUACUGACGUUGAGGCACGAAAGCGUGGGGAGCAAACAGGAUUAGAUACCCGGGUAGUC